GACAGAGGGUGCAAACGUUGUUCGGAAUUACUGGGCGUAAAGCGUGCGCAGGCGGCUUCUCAAGUCAGGGGUGAAAGCCCGAGGCUCAACCUCGGAACUGCCUUCGAUACUGCGGGUCUCGAGUCCGGGAGAGGUGAGUGGAAUUCCUAGUGUAGAGGUGAAAUUCGUAGAUAUUAGGAAGAACACCAGUGGCGAAGGCGGCUCACUGGCCCGGUACUGACGCUGAGGCGCGAAAGCGUGGGGAGCAAACAGG
rnacentral:rRNA from 1 species